rnacentral:tRNA from 1 species
GAUACAGUGGUCUAGUGGUUAAGGCACCAGACUAGAAACCCGGAGAUUGUGAGUUAUAGUCCCACUUUAGUCG